rnacentral:rRNA from 1 species
GACGAACGCUGGCGGCGUGCCUAAUACAUGCAAGUCGAGCGCUUCUUUCCUCCCGAGUGCUUGCACUCAAUUGGAAAGAGGAGUGGCGGACGGGUGAGUAACACGUGGGUAACCUACCCAUCAGAGGGGGAUAACACUUGGAAACAGGUGCUAAUACCGCAUAACAGUUUAUGCCGCAUGGCAUAAGAGUGAAAGGCGCUUUCGGGUGUCGCUGAUGGAUGGACCCGCGGUGCAUUAGCUAGUUGGUGAGGUAACGGCUCACCAAGGCCACGAUGCAUAGCCGACCUGAGAGGGUGAUCGGCCACACUGGGACUGAGACACGGCCCAGACUCCUACGGGAGGCAGCAGUAGGGAAUCUUCGGCAAUGGACGAAAGUCUGACCGAGCAACGCCGCGUGAGUGAAGAAGGUUUUCGGAUCGUAAAACUCUGUUGUUAGAGAAGAACAAGGACGUUAGUAACUGAACGUCCCCUGACGGUAUCUAACCAGAAAGCCACGGCUAACUACGUG